rnacentral:rRNA from 1 species
UACGUAGGGGGCGAGCGUUGUCCGGAAUUAUUGGGCGUAAAGAGCGUGUAGGCGGUUCGGUAAGUCUGCCGUGAAAACCUGGGGCUCAACCCUGGGCGUGCGGUGGAUACUGCCGGGCUAGAGGGUGGUAGAGGCGAGUGGAAUUCCCGGUGUAGCGGUGAAAUGCGCAGAUAUCGGGAGGAACACCAGUAGCGAAGGCGGCUCGCUGGGCCAUUCCUGACGCUGAGACGCGAAAGCUAGGGGAGCGAACGGG